rnacentral:rRNA from 1 species
UACGGGGGGGGCAAGCGUUGUUCGGAAUUACUGGGCGUAAAGGGUUUGUAGGUGGCCAACUAAGUCAGACGUGAAAUCCCUCAGCUUAACUGGGGAACUGCGUCUGAUACUGGUUGGCUUGAGUGCAGGAGAGGAAUGCGGAAUUCCAGGUGUAGCGGUGAAAUGCGCAGAUAUCAGGAGGAACACCGGUGGCGAAGGCGGGUCUCUGGGCCGAAAUUGACGCUGAGGAGCGAAAGCGUGGGGAGCAAACAGG